rnacentral:lncRNA from 1 species
CCCACUCCCUCUUGGCUCCUGCAGAUGGGUCCACUUAGUCAUUACGUGCAGUGCAGUCCAGCCCUGCUGGCUGGCCUAAGUCUUUUAUUAGGGAGAUUACAUAAAGCUUGGCAAAAUUCUCCAAAAGUUCAGCAUGUUCAGCUUUGAUGCCGUCCUUUCUCAGGAGUUGACUCAAAUUCAGGAAAGUUAACUCUUUUGUCAAAUUGAAAUUGGUUUUAUUUUUUAUUGUAAAUGUCAUAUAUAGUUAUUAUUAAAAAUUCACUUAUAUCCGGGAUAAAGUAAGAUAAGCUACAAUCCUGAAUAUAACAUUUAUUAAUAUUUUAGUAUAUCUCUUUCAAGACUUUAAAAGAAUAGCAUUUUAUGAUAAAAUAUUAUCAUAUUAUAGAAACUAAUUUAUAACAUAUUUUUCCAUCUGACAUAUUGAGAAAUACUUCCCAGAUCGAUAAAUAUAUUUAUACUAUCCUUUCAUCAUGCCUGUAUAGUGUUCUAAAGUAUGAUUAUUUCAUAGUUUAUUUAAAUUAUUUCAUUUUAGGAUAUUUGGUACUUUCAAUUUGCCACAUUUAGGAGCAAUGAUACAGUAAACAUUCUUGAUUGCUUAUCUAACUGCAUGUUAUCAAUUAUUACAUUAGAAUAAAUUCAAAGAUAAAUGCUAAUAUAGGAUGAUUGGAUCACAAAGUGCCUAUAAUAGUUAAGUUUACCUUUGGUGUAUAUUAUUGCCAAUUGCACUCUAGAAAAUCUGUAGUAAUUUCCACAGGUACGAUGUGCAUAAUGGCAUCAAUGUCACUGAACACCUAGAUGUUUUGUUGACCUUAAGAUAAUAAAGUUCCCUUCAACCUACAUGAUGGGAAAUAGGAAAAUUUAUAUAGCCCUGAGGCGAGAUAGCAAACAUGUACUGUUAUCCUUGUCAUGUGAAGGAAAAAAAGAUUUCUGAUUGUUUCUUAAAACUGAUGGGAAUAAGGAAAAAAUGCAUUUGUUACGUUGAAAGUUACACAUCAGAUUCCACAGUCUGUGUUGAUUUAGUCACUAAAAGUUUUACUUUUAAAAAUACAUCUGUGGUGUUCCCUUUUAGCACAGCAGGUUAAGGAUCUGGCAUUGUUCUUGCAGCUGCUUGGGUCACUGCUACAGUGCAGGUGCAGUCCUUAGCCUGGGAACUUCCAAGUGCUGGGGUCAUGGCCAAAAAAACCACAUUUGCAGUUGGCAUCACCUGUUGAAUAAAGUAUCUAUCUUUCCUUUGUUGAAUAGAACCAGGUGUAUGAGCGGUUUGGAUCUGGAAAUCUUGCUCCUUAGGCUAUGAAUCCUCACUAUUGAUGCUUAAAUUAGAUUUCUGUCCUCUUGAUCUCUAUGUGCCAAGCUAUAUCUUAGUGGGCUGCUUACCUAUUUUAUUUCUAGGAAACUUGUAGUCAGUUAACUGUUGCCACAGAUCUCCUCGGGUCAGUACACUGUAAUUACUAAUUCUGCUUGUCUUAUUUUGGCAAAUGCAUGUACCUUUACUUUGAGAGUUAAGUGCUGCUAUUUGGUUUACCACUCUAGCAUCCUAUUAUCCUCUUUAAAGUCAGGGACAACCCAAUAUAGCAGUCACCAGGAUUCCAUCCAAUCUGCAGAGGACCACUACUUAGAGUUCUUCAGGAAAAUUUGCACUCCCCCUCUCCUACAACCAAUAAUAUUUUUCAUAAUAGGAAGGAAGUAUUUUCUGAAUUUUCCAAUGAGAUAUUGUUUAGAGGGUAGAUGGACACAAAAAUGAUUCAUUCUAUUACUCCUCUUUCCUUGAGUCUUCUGUCUUGGUUCUAAAAUGUACCUGGGAUUUUGUUUUAAUCAAGUAUGUUGAGAUGGCAGAUAGGAGAAGACUGCCUUGAGAGAAAGGCUAUUAUUCACAGCUCCCAAGAAGAGAGGGCAUGCCAUGCCAUGUAGGGUCAUCUGAGGAAGGACCAAAUCAGUCAAGAGGCAGAGGAGCAAAGGGAAAGCAUGAUCCAGAGCCUAUAUUGUAGUUUUGAGGGAAGACAUAGACAAGGGAGGGUAGGUAUUGUGAAAAAGCUUAGGCUUGGACAGUUUGCAUAUUUUCUGCAGGCUCUGGGCUAUUGGGGUGCUUCCUAGUUGUCAUGUACCUAGCUCUGGGGUGUUUUGGGGCAGGGAGAAUAUUGGCUUGGUCCGUGAGAAUGAAGGAGAUGUUUGGGGGGUACGUCCUCUGUAUUGGUGGAUUGGCAUAUCAAAGGUAUGCUUAAAGGCAAUUUUUUUGCUAUCUUUAGGUAUCAUUUAACCUUCAGAAGGGUAAUUUCUCCCUGGGUCUGCAAGGCUCUAAGAUGUCAAAGCAUCAUAAAAAUAUAAAAAGUAUGACUAGUGCCUUCAUCGUCCUCUACAAUAUACCAGGAAAGCUCUGGCAUUUUGAUCUCAUUAACUUUAGACCACCUAGCCAUUAACUAAUGCCAAUCCUAUAUAUUUGAGCCAACUUUAGGUGAAUAAACACAUCUCAAUGAGUUUGGGCUAAUCAUAACUUUAGUUUGUCUGCCAUUUCAUGAACUUAGAACCUAGUCCUGCAAAGUCCAGGCUUAUGGUGAUUAAGAAUGACACAGUUCUAUAAAUUUUUCUGUUUAUAGGCUAUCUCAUCCCAGAAGAGACCAGAUAUUUCUUAGUCUGGACCCUAUUGAAAUUUAGCUCUUAACUAUGAACCUGAAGGUAGUAGAGGAUGCUGGUGAGGGGCUUUAGAAAAAUUGACUCAGUUGUGAGGUACUGUCUCAUUGAACAAAUUUUAUGCAGGGAAAAAUUCUUCCUUCAUGCUAUGGCUGGAAGAAGUCUCUUUUGCUUGUAAAAUUGACUCAAGCAGAUUUAGGAGUUCAAGUUUCUCAGCCUCAGGGUUCUACUUUUCCCCAGUCAGUGUGGAAGAGAUUUGGUGGACUUCAGCUCCAAACUGAAAUGCUAUUUUGCCUCUUUUACGAUUAUAUCCUGGAUUAAUCAGUAAGAGCUGAUACACAUACAGGAGGUGAAGGGAUUUUUCUAUGUUUUCCUUAGGCUUUGUGAUUUUCCUCACUGUGUUCUUAAUUGUAUAGCUUUUAAUUUCUUAUUUUCUCUAUUCCUUUGGCUCUCUAGGGCCAUAAGAGGAAGACAGGUGACUUCCUAAAACUAAGUGUUUUAGGAAAACCCACUAAACCAACUAAAAUUAACUAAACGCUAAGGGCUUUAGGCCCCUCAAUAUCCCAGUUUGCCAUCUACAUGCAUUUCAUCCCAUGCACACUACUGGAGAUAAUUUGAACAAUUUUGUUGUCACCAAGAUUGUGGAUUACUCAAGGCUUGGUUGGCUGCAACUGGAGGUUGUCUAUGUUUGCCUCAAUUCUGUAAACAACCCCAUGUCAAAAGACUAUAUUUUGGGUCUGUUUUAUAGGAUUCUGAUCCCAAUUACUAUACCAGUUAGGUUUCCAAGAGGAGAUAAAUGGCAACCCAAAAUUAGCACCUUGGAGUUCCCGUCAUGGUGCAGUGGUUAACAAAUCCGACUAGGAACCAUGAGGUUUCGGGUUUGACCCCGGCCUUGCUCAGCGAGUUAAGGAUCCAGCAUUGCCGUGGGCUGUGGUGUAGGUCACAGAUGUGGCUCUGAUCUGGUAUUGCUGGGACUGUGGUGUAGCAUAUACAGCUCCGAUUAGACCUCUAGCCUUGGAACCUCCAUAUGCCGUGGGAGCGGCCCUAGAAAAGGCAAAAAGACAAAAACAAACAAUCAAACAAACAAACAAAAAAACAGCAAAAAACCCCAAAACAAAAUUAGCACCUUAAAAUUGUAUCCUAAAAAAAAUGAUCUAAAAUUGGGUAAUCGGAGUUCCCGUCGUGGUGCAGUGGUUAACGAAUCCGACUAGGAACCAUGAGGUUGCGGGUUCGGUCCCUGCCCUUGCUCAGUGGGUUAAUGAUCUGGCGUUGCCGUGAGCUGUGGUGUAGGUUGCAGACGUGGCUCGGAUCCAGCAUUGCUGUGGCUCUGGCGUAGGCCGGGGGCUACAGCUCCAAUUCAACCCCUAGCCUGGGAACCUCCAUAUGCCGUGGGAGCGGCCCAAGAAAUAGC